rnacentral:rRNA from 1 species
GAUGGCGACCGGCGCACGGGUGAGUAACACGUAUCCAACCUGCCGAUGACUCGGGGAUAGCCUUUCGAAAGAAAGAUUAAUACCCGAUGGCAUAGUUCUUCCGCAUGGUAGAACUAUUAAAGAAUUUCGGUCAUCGAUGGGGAUGCGUUCCAUUAGGUUGUUGGCGGGGUAACGGCCCACCAAGCCUUCGAUGGAUAGGGGUUCUGAGAGGAAGGUCCCCCACAUUGGAACUGAGACACGGUCCAGACUCCUACGGGAGGCAGCAUG